AUAAUUUAUCAUGUUAGCGUGCCAACUGUGUCGAUGCCUUCUUAAACGAAGUACCACCUUAUAAACAGAACCGUUGCUUGGCAGAAGAAUUUGGUAUAAAUGGCUGGCUUUCUCUUUCUCACUAUUUUUGGUGUCAGCUUUCUGUGGUUGCCUGGCGAAGGGCAACUACAAGCCCCUUCAGCUGGUAGCACUUUGGUAUUUACAAAUGGAUCAACUGCAAAGAUUACCUGGCCGUAUAAAGCUGAUAUAUCUAAAUUGAAUUUUCGGAGUUGGUCCUUCAUCAGCAGUAAAACGAAAAAGUUGGAAACGCUGGCAACUAUAGUGGGGAAUGGUACGAGCGUUACGAAAUCUGCGAGUAGCUUGCACGAUUUUGAGAUUGAAACGCCCACCACCUUGAUCCUGAAGAAUAUCGAUGUCACUUACGACGGAACAUACCAGUUUGUCCUAACACCCAGUCGCGAUGCUGUAUCUAACGUUGUCGUUUAUA